GGAAAUUUAGUUUACAAACAUUAUUGCAAAAAAAAAAAAAAGUAACGGUGUUAGAAUACAAAUGAUAGAAGAAUUUAAUUCUUAUUUCUGUGCCAUGAAAAAUGUUGGAAAAAAUUCAAGCUUUGAACCAUAAAAUGUGGUUUACUUUAAGUAAUAUGUCAGUGUAGAAGAAGUGAGAAUGGAUGAUUGUGAAGCUGUAGAUCCUCGAGUAAAAGAUCAGUUGGAGUACCUGAAUUCUUAUACUGACGAAAUCAACAGUCUUGAAUUACAG